GCAGGACAGAGUGGGAUGGCGUGAGAUUUCGUCACAUUACUCAGAACAGCAUGCAAUUUAAAACAUGAAUUGCUUUCCAUUUAAAAAUAAAGGAAUUUGAUUAUGCGUUCUCUAAAGCUUCCAAAAGGAUCCAGUCCCAGAUACGUAUUACAUUUAGUCAUCAUGGCUCCUUCGUCUCCUCUGCACAAGGGGAAGCAGCCUGUGGCCCUCACCAGAUGCAGAUAUCCAAUCUUCCAGCAAACAGAAUCGUUUGUGUGUCAAAGUGAUAGUCAAAAUGCGGGUACACAGAACUCAGAUAUACUGCUAUGGUGAAGCGGCUCGACACUUUCAAGUCUCUUACAAUUGAGUCUUCUAGAAACUAUGAUGAUAUCAAACCUGUAGGUCAUGAAGAGUCUACUACACUGAGCUUGCACACCACAUCAGAAAAUCAAAUUUUCUGGGGAAGAACCCAUCAAAAUUCACGGAGUAAUAUUGCUGUCUUUUCCUGUAUUUGAAAUAAAUGUUCUUCUCUAACA
rnacentral:lncRNA from 1 species